UACAGAGGGUGCAAGCGUUAAUCGGAAUUACUGGGCGUAAAGCGUGCGUAGACGGUCUGUUGCGUCUGCUGUGAAAACUCGGGGCUUAACCCCGAGCCUGCAGUGGAUACGGGCAGACUAGAGUACUGCAGGGGAGACUGGAAUUCCUGGUGUAGCGGUGGAAUGCGCAGAUAUCAGGAGGAACACCGGUGGCGAAGGCGGGUCUCUGGGCAGUAACUGACGCUGGAGGAGCGAAAGCGUGGGGAGCGAACAGG
rnacentral:rRNA from 1 species